UCUCCAGCUUCCCCAAGCUGGCUCAGGCCGAGGGAACAGAGGACGCUUGGGGACAGGAGGAGCUGCAGAAGCAGAACUGAGACUCAGAGACCAUGGAGGGGGUGGAGGCUGAGUCUUCCUGGGCUGAGCAGGGGGAACUCCAGCCCCCAAUUGCCCAAAUGAGCUUCAGGAAAGGCUCUGGGCCUUACUCAGCUUCCCCACCGCCGCUCCCCCUCGGACAGGCCCCGUGCUGGAUGCAUUAGAAGACAGACUUCAGCUCCAAGCCAGCAGCCGGCAACACUGAAUAUUCAUGCCUCGACUUCCACGCUUUUCAAUUAAACACAAUAAAGUAAAUUCCCGUCAAAA
rnacentral:lncRNA from 1 species